rnacentral:misc_RNA from 1 species
GAUGAAGAACGCAGCGAAAUGCGAUAAGUAAUGCGAAUUGCAGAAUUCAGUGAGUCAUCGAAUCUUUGAACGCACAUUGCGCCCUGUGGUAUUCCGCAGGGCAUGCCUGUUCGAGCGUCAUUUCAACCCUCAAGCUCUGCUUGGUGUUGGGCCCUGCCCGCUGCGGCCGGCCCUAAAGACAGUGGCGGUGCCGCCUGGCCCUGAGCGUAGUACAUCUCUCGCUCCAGUGCCCGGUGGUAGCCUGCCAGAACCCCAACUCUCGUGGUUGACCUCGGAUCAGGUAGGGAUACCCGCUGAACAUAAGCAUAUCAAUAAGCGGAGGA